CCUCCAACUCUGGAAGUUUCUAUCACUGGAGAAUAUUUAGGAUUAUCCAGCAUAGAGGCAGUUAUGAAGCAAAGAAGGCUUCUCAAUCUAUUUGUCACAGGCCUUGCAAGCUUAUACUUCAAGCUGGAGACAGGACUCCCAGUAAUGACCAGAAUAACAUGUGAUUGUCGUGUCAUCCUGAAAAACUAUAUUAUGCUUGGUAGAAAUGGAACUGUUACCAGUGCUAGAAAGGACCUGACUGCAUUUAUAAUACAAAACAGAAAAUCGAGGGUGAACGGUGCCAAGCAAAGAUCAUAUAAGGUCCUCUCUCAUUCUGGGUGACGCUUCCAUGAAGACAUUUAGAACAGGUUGACUAGGCUUGAGCUAAUUUCAGCACUGCUGACUUGCUUUCAAAAUAUUUCUCACAAUCAACUUUUGGAUGAGUAUUUUCUCUUAAAAUUAAAUGGCAG
rnacentral:lncRNA from 1 species